GAUAAACGCUGGCGGCGUGCAUAACACAUGCAAGUCGAACGAUGAAGCUUAAAGGAUUUCUUCGGAAUGAACUUAAUUGGAUUAGUGGCGGACGGGUGAUUAACGCGUGAGUAACCUGCCUUGUACAAGGGGAUCGCCGUUGGAAACGACGAAUAAUAUUCUAUGACAUCAAAUAAUCGCAUGAUAAUUUGAUCAAAGAUUUAUCGGUAUAAGGUGGACUCGCGUCUGAUUAGCUAGUUGGAAGAGUAAAAGCCGACAAAGGCAACGAGCAGAAGCCGGCUUGAGAGAGCGUACGGCAACAUUGGGACAGGGACACGUCCCAAACCCCCACGAGAGGCAGCAGGGGGGAAUGAUGCACAAUGGGGGAAACCCUGAGGCAGCGAGGCCGCGAAAUUGAGAAGGUCUGCGGGUUGUAAAAUUCUUUUGUAUAGGAAGAAAAUGACAGUACCAUACGAAUAAGGACCGGCUAAUUACGUG
rnacentral:rRNA from 1 species